GCGCGUUCCGGCUCCGCGCGCCUGCCAGGCCGGGGCCGGCGGCGGAACAGCUUGGGACCCGAAACGCCUCGGCUUUUCUGCGGACCCGCGCCCGGCCGCUGCCGCCGGACGCUUGAAAAGAGGCAGAGUCUUGCUUUGUUGUCCAGGCUGGUCUUGAACUUCUGAGCUCAAGUGAUCCUCCCGCCUUGGCCUCCCAAAGUGCUGAGACUACAGAGAGAGAAUGCUAACGAGCUGUGAAAUGACCAAAGAUCUGGCAGCAGAAGGGAAAAGAAAAAAUAAUGGGAAGAAGAGGAUUUAUCUGACUCAACUGGAGAUGGCUCCCUUCCCUUAUUUAUUGUUGCAUCCUGAAGCUUCCCCCAUGCUGGGCUCAGUGUGAACAAACAGCGCGGGAGAAUGCAACCACUGCAGAGGCAUAUGUUUGAGAUACCUGGCCACUGGAGGUCAUCUCGUCUACUAUAUUCACCGCAGAUAAAGAAUGAAAAGAGAAUACACAACCUUGUGAUUGCUAGCAGUGAAAGCUCAGAGUUAUGACAUAACAAGUGGUUGAUCAUACUGUAAAACUCAAAUGUGAAGGGAAGGCUGGAACCUACUGGAAACUGAAGAUCUAACGAAAAGAAGGAACUUUUAGGAACUAGCAGAGACUUCAAAAUGUUGAGAACUCUCUUUUUUCAUAAGAGAAGAUAAAAACUCUGAUGGUCACACUCAUAAAGACAAAAAACAAAUAAAAAACAAACAAAAACUCAGAAUCACAAGAGCAAAGAAAAUGUAGGUAAAACAAUAACAGAAGAGGUAAAGAAAUUUAUGUGAAUUGGGACACUCUGGGGCACAGAACAGAAGAGGAGAAGAAACAUGAAAGUAAUGCUCUGCACAAGGAUGUCUGACUGUCCUUGAUUCCAAGGGCAUUUAAAAUUAGCCACUGGAUGAGAACCAUGAAAUGCCAUGACUCUUACAGCUCCCAUGAAAGACAUUGGAUGGAACUUAUCCUAACUGGACCAAAUUCUAAAAAAUUUUACAUGAUAUUAUAAUGAGUUGAAAGUUGAAAAAAAAAAGCUCUUCUAGAUUACCAAGAAUAAAACACAAAUUUCUAGCUGACUGAAUUAAUUCUCAUCUCUCUAUAGAAAGAUCAUAGAAAUUUUUUUUAUCAUGCAAAGAAAUAGCUAAAAAUUUACAAAAAUAUAGACGUGCAUUAGGCAGCUCAUGAAUAAAUGCGUUUUUUCCUUUUUUCCUCCAGAAUUUUGUGAUGUUUAUGGUACUUUUCGGCUUUUAAAAUUUUGUAUUUAAUCAGGAUUUAUUACUUCAUUGUAAGUAAAUAUUAAAUUUGUACUCCAUCUUUGUUUGUAAUUUUGUAUAUUUUUCAGUAAAAAGGACUCCCCAGAUUAUGUAAGCUUUAGGCCCCACAAAAUCUAGGCCUGUUGCUGUAUCCUUUCUAGAGCAGUGUUUCUCAAACUUCAAUGUGCAUUUGAAUCUCCUGGGGCUCCUGUUAAAAUAUAGCUUCUGAGAUGAUGCAUUUCUAACAGACUCCCAGGGCUGACACUGCCCAUCUGGGGACCACACUUUGAGAAUCAAAUAUCUAGAACAAUGGUUCUUACCUGGCUGUGCAUUGGGAUCAUUUAUAGUGCUUUUGGAAAAUACAUUGUGUCCAGGUCCCACCCAGUUCUCAGUAGGCUUGGAAUGGGGUCCUACACUUUUUUUUUUUAACUCCACAGUUUGGGAAAGAAGCCUUUUCAUAUAUUGUUGGUGGGAAUACAAAUUGAUACAGCCAUUUUUGAGCUUGAUUUGGCAAUAUCUUCCUUGGAGAAAUCAAAAGCCAGUUGGCAAGCCAGUCUGGAAAAGGCAGUUUACUGAUUCCCACCCGAGGGUCACAAAGCAGGUAUAGAAGGAUGGGCUUUGGCUGAAAUAUAUGAUGGGUACAGGUAUAUUCUCUAUAAUCCAGUAUUUCCACUGCUGAAAACGUAUCCUAGUAACAUUAUACAUAUCAAGCCUACAUAUAAAGUUGGUCAAUUCCAUAUUAUUUGUAGUAGGGGAAAACUGAAAGCAGUCUACAUGCCCAUCAAUAGAUUAUUCAAAUUAUGGAACAGUUUUCCAAUGACAAAACAAUAGCUAAUCUUAGUUAAGCAAUUAUUAUGUUAUGUAAGGUAGACAUUGUUCUACCUUAUUUAUAAGUAUUAAGUUAGUUUUUAUAACUAUCAUAUUUCCAUUUUACAAAUGACAUAAUUUAUAUUAUUGACAUGGGAAGAUGUCCAAGGAUAUAAUAAGCAAAAAGCAAGUAGCAAAACAUUAUGUAUAUUAUGCAUUACCAUUAUAAUAUACUAAAAAGUAAUGCACUUGAUUCUGAUGCACACUCCCCAGUAGGUAACAACUUAUCUAGUGUAAAAAUGAAAGAACAUUCUGGGCCGGGCACGGUGGCUCAUGCCUGUAAUCCCAGCACUUUGGGAGGCCCAGGUGGGCGGAUCACAAGGUCAGGAGAUCGAGACCAUCCUGGCUAACAUGGUGAAACCCCGUCUCUACUAAAAAUAC
rnacentral:lncRNA from 10 species